AAAAAGACAAACCCUGAUUUCCGUGCCCAACGUUUGACCGUCCGUCUUAUUUGAAAAAAUUAUAAAAAAAAAUAAAAAGACAAGUCACACAUAAAAUAUUAAUCAUAUUUUAUCAUCUAACAACAAUAAAAAUACGAAUUAUAAAAAAAUUUCAUAUAAGACGGACAGUCAAAGUUGGACACGGAAACCCAGGGUUUAUCUUUUU
rnacentral:pre_miRNA from 1 species